GCCCCGUUGACGGAUUGAACGGUAGCCGGUAGCGAGAACCGGACGGGGU
rnacentral:ncRNA from 1 species